GAUGAACGCUGGCGGCGUGCCUAAUACAUGCAAGUCGAGCGAACAGAUGAGGAGCUUGCUCCUCUGACGUUAGCGGCGGACGGGUGAGUGACACGCGGAUAACCUACCUAUAAGACUGGGAUAACUUCGGGAAACCGGAGCUAAUACCGGAUAAUAUAUUGAACCGCAUGGUUCAAUAGUGAAAGACGGUUUUGCUGUCACUUAUAGAUGGAUCCGCGCCGCAUUAGCUAGUUGGUAAGGUAACGGCUUACCAAGGCAACGAUGCGUAGCCGACCUGAGAGGGUGAUCGGCCACACUGGAACUGAGACACGGUCCAGACUCCUACGGGAGGCAGCAGUAGGGAAUCUUCCGCAAUGGGCGAAAGCCUGACGGAGCAACGCCGCGUGAGUGAUGAAGGUCUUCGGAUCGUAAAACUCUGUUAUUAGGGAAGAACAAAUGUGUAAGUAACUAUGCACGUCUUGACGGUACCUAAUCAGAAAGCCACGGCUAACUACGUG
rnacentral:rRNA from 1 species